rnacentral:rRNA from 1 species
AGAAUUUGAUCUUGGUUCAGGAUGAACGCUAGCGGCGUGGAUAAGGCAUGCAAGUCGAACGCUUCAGCGCUUGCGCUGGAGAGUGGCGAACGAGUUAGUAACACGUAGAUACCUUCCUCAAAGUGGGGCAUAACCAGUUGAAAGAUUGGCUAAUUCCCCAUAGUCUGAUAAUUUCAAAAUUAUCAGUAAAGAUGCAAAUCGCUUUGAGAUGGGUCUGCGGCCUAUCAGCUUGUUGGUGAGGUAAUGGCUCACCAAGGCAAUGACAGGUAGGGGGCAUGAGAGUGUGUUCCCCAACGAUGGCACUGAGACACGGGCCAUACUCCUACGGGAGGCAGCAGUCGAGAAUAUUCGACAAUGGGCGAAAGCCUGAUCGAGCGACGCCGCGUGAUUGAUGAAGCCCUUCGGGGUGUAAAGAUCUUUUUCCGCUGAGGAAGCCGCAAGGCUGACAGUAAGCGGAGAAUAAGGGGCUGCUAAUCACGUGCCAGCAGCCGCGGUAAUACGUGAGCCCCAAGCGUUAUCCGGAUUUAUUGGGCGUAAAAAGUCUGUAGGCGUCUUAUUAAGUUUCUCGUUAAAGUUUUAAGGCUCAACCUUAAAAAUGCGAGGAAAACUAAUAAGAUAGAGAAUGUCAGAGGUUGACGGAACGGUCGGUGUAGGGGUGAAAUCCGUUGAUAUCGACCGGAACACCAAAUGCGAAGGCAGUCAACUGGGGCAAAUCUGACGCUGAGAGACGAAAGCGUGGGUAGCAAAAAGGAUUAGAUACCCUUGUAGUCCACGCCCUAAACUAUGGACACUAGCUAUUUGAAGUGUCGACCCUUCAAGUGGCGAAGCUAACGCGUUAAGUGUCCUGCCUGGGAAGUACGGCCGCAAGGCUAAAACUCAAAAGAAUAGACGGGGCUUCACACAAGCGGUGGAUCAUGUGGCUUAAUUCGUCAACAAGCGAAGAACCUUACCAGGGUUUGACAUUCCGAUGAAAUUCUUCUGAAAGGAAGAACUUCUCACAAGGACAUCGGAACAGGUGCUGCAUGGUUGUCGUCAGCAUGUGUCGUGAGAUGCACCCUUAAAUGGGGUAACAUGCGCAACCCUCAUCCUACGUUUUAAUUUGUCGUGGGAAACUGCCUAGGACAACUAGGAGGAAGGUGAGGAUGACGCCAAAUCAGCAUGGCCCUUUGACGCCCUGGGCGGCACACAUGAUACAAUGGAGCCGACAAUGAGCAAAACCGUAAGGUGGAGGUAAUCUCAUCAAACGGCUCCCCAGUUCGGAUUGAGGUCUGCAACCGACCUCAUGAAGCCGGAAUCGCUAGUAAUCGCCAAUCAGCCACGUGGCGAUGAAUAUGUUCCUGAAGCUUGUACUCACCGCCCGUCACGCCAAGCGAGCUGAGAAUAGCCGAAUUCCGCUCAAGCGGCAUAAGCUAGGCUCAGUGAGAGGGGCGAAGUCGUAACAAGGCACGGGUAGGGGAACCUGCUCGUG